rnacentral:rRNA from 1 species
GAGCGGCAGCGGGAAGAUAGCUUGCUAUCUUUGCCGGCGAGCGGCGGACGGGUGAGUAAUGCCUAGGGAUCUGCCCAGUCGAGGGGGAUAACAGUUGGAAACGACUGCUAAUACCGCAUACGCCCUACGGGGGAAAGGAGGGGACCUUCGGGCCUUCCGCGAUUGGAUGAACCUAGGUGGGAUUAGCUAGUUGGUGAGGUAAUGGCUCACCAAGGCGACGAUCCCUAGCUGUUCUGAGAGGAUGAUCAGCCACACUGGGACUGAGACACGGCCCAGACUCCUACGGGAGGCAGCAGUGGGGAAUAUUGCACAAUGGGGGAAACCCUGAUGCAGCCAUGCCGCGUGUGUGAAGAAGGCCUUCGGGUUGUAAAGCACUUUCAGUAGGGAGGAAAGGUAACAGCUUAAUACGCUGUUGCUGUGACGUUACCUACAGAAGAAGGACCGGCUAACUCCGUGCCAGCAGCCGCGGUAAUACGGAGGGUCCGAGCGUUAAUCGGAAUUACUGGGCGUAAAGCGUGCGCAGGCGGUUUGUUAAGCGAGAUGUGAAAGCCCCGGGCUCAACCUGGGAAUUGCAUUUCGAACUGGCGAACUAGAGUCUUGUAGAGGGGGGUAGAAUUCCAGGUGUAGCGGUGAAAUGCGUAGAGAUCUGGAGGAAUACCGGUGGCGAAGGCGGCCCCCUGGACAAAGAC